rnacentral:rRNA from 1 species
GAUGUUGGCUUAGAAGCAGCCAUGCAUUUAAAGAGUGCGUAACAGCUCACUGGUCAAGUGGACAUGCGCCGACAAUACACGGGGCUAAGCGUUGUACCGAAGCAGCGGACUGUUUUAUCAGUGGUAGGGGAGCUUUCCAUGCCGGGGCGAAGCCGACGGGCGACCGUCGGUGGACUGCAUGGAAGUGAGAAUGCUGGCAUGAGUAACGAGAGAGGGGCGAGAAACCCCUCCGCCGUAAGCCUAAGGGUUCCUGGGCAAGGCUAAUCCCCCCAGGGUCAGUCGGGAGCUAAGGCGAGGCCGACAGGCGUAGCCGAUGCACAACAGGCGGACAUUCCUGUACCACCGCGGAGCGUUUGCACGACGGGGUGACGGAGAAGGGUAGCCGGGCGGGGUUCUGGACGUCCCCGUGAAAGCGCGUAGGCCGCAGGGCAGGCAAAUCCGCCCUGCAGCGAGGCCGAGACGUUAGACGAAGCUUCAUGUGAAGCCGGCGAGCCCAUGCUUCCGAGAAAAACCUCUAAGGAGCGAGGCGGUGCCCGUACCAAAACCGACACAGGUAGGCGGGUAGAGCAUACCAAGGCGAUCGGGAGAACCAUGGUUAAGGAACUCGGCAUACUGACUCCGUAACUUCGGGAGAAGGAGUGCCCCCGCCUGUGAGGUCCCACGCGGACGGAGCGGGAGGGGGUCGCAGCGAAACGGCCCAAGCGACUGUUUACCAAAAACACAGGACUCUGCAAAGCCGCAAGGCGACGUAUAGGGUCUGACGCCUGCCCGGUGCUGGAAGGUUACGCGGAUGAGUUAGCGCAAGCGAAGCCCUGAAGCCAAGCCCCAGUAAACGGCGGCCGUAACUAUAACGGUCCUAAGGUAGCGAAAUUCCUUGUCGGGUAAGUUCCGACCUGCACGAAUGGCGUAACGACUUGGGCGCUGUCUCAACCAUGGACCCGGUGAAAUUGUAUUAUUCGUGAAGAUGCGAAUUACCUGCGGAAGGACGGAAAGACCCCGUGAACCUUUACUGCAGCUUGGCAUUGGCUGUUGGUGCGGUGCGUAGAGGAUAGGCAGGAGCCUGCGAACCGGGAACGCCAGUUCCCGGGGAGGCGCCCUUGGAAUACUGCCCUCACCGCAUCGGCAGCCUAACGCGCCGCCCUCAUCGGGGGCGCGGACCGUGCCAGGUGGGUAGUUUGACUGGGGCGGUCGCCUCCUAAACUGUAACGGAGGCGUGCGAAGGUUCGCUCAGGGCGGUUGGCAAUCGCCCGCAGAGCACAAGAGUACAAGCGAGCCUGACUGCGAGACCAACAAGUCGAGCAGAGACGAAAGUCGGUUCUAGUGAUCCGGCGGCCCAGCGUGGAAUGGCCGUCGCUCAACGGAUAAAAGGUACUCCGGGGAUAACAGGCUGAUCUUGCCCAAGAGUCCACAUCGACGGCAAGGUUUGGCACCUCGAUGUCGGCUCAUCGCAUCCUGGGGCUGGAGCAGGUCCCAAGGGUACGGCUGUUCGCCGUUUAAAGCGGUACGCGAGCUGGGUUCAGAACGUCGUGAGACAGUUCGGUCCCUAUCCUCCGUGGGCGCAAGAGAAUUGAGAGGAUCUGUCCCUAGUACGAGAGGACCGGGAUGGACGCACCUCUGGUGCCGCAGUUGUCGACCAACGGCACAGCUGCCUAGCUACGUGCGGAACGGAUAACCGCUGAAAGCAUCUAAGCGGGAAGCCGGCCUCGAGAUGAGUUCUCUCUUCGGUAAGGCCACUUGUAGACCACAAGUUCGAUAGGCCGCAGCUGCAAGCCCCGCGAGGGGCUCAGGCGAGCGGUACUAAUCGGCCGAGCUCUUCAUCU